AACGAACGCUGGCGGCAUGCCUAACACAUGCAAGUCGAACGAGACCUUUGGGUCUAGUGGCGCACGGGUGCGUAACGCGUGGGAACCUGCCCUUAGGUUCGGAAUAACUCCCCGAAAGGGGUGCUAAUACCGGCUAAUGUCUUCGGACCAAAGAUUUAUCGCCUUUGGAUGGGCCCGCGUUGGAUUAGCUAGUUGGUAGGGUAAAAGCCUACCAAGGCGACGAUCCAUAGCUGGUCUGAGAGGAUGAUCAGCCACACUGGGACUGAGACACGGCCCAGACUCCUACGGGAGGCAGCAGUGGGGAAUAUUGGACAAUGGGCGAAAGCCUGAUCCAGCAAUGCCGCGUGAGUGAUGAAGGCCUUAGGGUUGUAAAGCUCUUUUACCCGGGAUGAUAAUGACAGUACCGGGAGAAUAAGCUCCGGCUAACUCCGUG
rnacentral:rRNA from 1 species